GACAGAGGGUGCAAACGUGUUCGGAUUUACUGGGCGUAAAGCGCGUGUAGGCGGCUUUGCAAGUCGGAUGUGAAAUCCCACGGCUCAACCGUGGAAGUGCAUCCGAAACUGCAUCGCUCGAGUCUCGGAGAGGAAGGCGGAAUGCUUGGUGUAGAGGUGAAAUUCGUAGAUAUCAAGCAGAACACCUGCGGCGAAGGCGGCCGUCUGGACGAUGACUGACGCUGAGACGCGAAAGCGUGGGGAGCAAACAGG
rnacentral:rRNA from 1 species